rnacentral:rRNA from 1 species
GAUUUGAGCCACCCGCGCCGUCUUCGGGCGCGUCCAGUACUUCGGCCAAUUCGACGCCCCGAUCCGUGUUCACGACCACACGAUCGCCACGGUGGCAAGGAAUCUGGUUGAUGGAACCAACUCGACCAACGUGUCCCAACGCUCCGUAGCGAACGAGAAAACAGUAGAUGCGCUCCACGGU